rnacentral:rRNA from 1 species
UCUGGCGUCUUCGGCGUCCGAGUUGUAAUUUGAAAAAGGUAUCUUUGGUUUUGGCUCUUGUCUAUGUUCCUUGGAACAGGACGUCACAGAGGGUGAGAAUCCCGUGCGAUGAGAUGCCCAAUUCCAUGUAAAGUUCCUUCKACGAGWCGAGUUGUUUGGGAAUGCAGCUCUAAGUGGGUGGUAAAUUCCAUCUAAAGCUAAAUAUUGGCGAGAGACCGAUAGCGAACAAGUACUGUGAAGGAAAGAUGAAAAGAACUUUGAAAAGAGAGUGAAAAAGUACGUGAAAUUGUUGAAAGGGAAGGGCUUGAGGUCAGACUUGGUUUACCASGCCAGCAUCAGUUUGGAUGGCAGGAUAAUAGCCUAGGAAAGUGGCACC